UCCUACGGGAGGCAGCAGUAGGGAAUCUUCCGCAAUGGACGAAAGUCUGACGGAGCAACGCCGCGUGAGUGAAGAAGGCCUUCGGGUCGUAAAACUCUGUUGCCGGGGAAGAACAAGUGCCGUUCGAACAGGGCGGCGCCUUGACGGUACCCGGCCAGAAAGCCACGGCUAACUACGUGCCAGCAGCCGCGGUAAUACGUAGGUGGCAAGCGUUGUCCGGAAUUAUUGGGCGUAAAGCGCGCGCAGGCGGCUUCUUAAGUCUGAUGUGAAAUCUUGCGGCUCAACCGCAAGCGGUCAUUGGAAACUGGGAGGCUUGAGUGCAGAAGAGGAGAGUGGAAUUCCACGUGUAGCGGUGAAAUGCGUAGAGAUGUGGAGGAACACCAGUGGCGAAGGCGGCUCUCUGGUCUGUAACUGACGCUGAGGCGCGAAAGCGUGGGGAGCAAACAGGAUUAGAUACCCUGGUAGUCCACGCCGUAAACGAUGAGUGCUAAGUGUUAGAGGGUUUCCGCCCUUUAGUGCUGCAGCUAACGCAUUAAGCACUCCGCCUGGAGAUGCCGAAGGUGC
rnacentral:rRNA from 1 species